CUUUUCUACCACACUUUCAAGAGAGGACCAAACUCAAUGAUAACACAUAGAUCAGAAUGAGAAGUUUACUUUAAACUUUUUUUUUAACGGGCAGACACAAUGGAUUAAAUACAGUGUUAAGGCACUAAAUACGACCAGAAAUGUACAUUUACUUUACAAACUGAAAAUUAUAAUCUAAAUGACAAUAUUGACAUUUACACACGACAUAAAACACAAAUUGCCAUUGAUUCUUUCUAUCAUCAAUGUCCAGAUCGACACCUGUCUUUCUACGGUGGUCUACAACAGAGCUGCAGGGGCAACGUCAGACCCUGUGUUGGACUGUUUCUAAUCUCCAUCCAUUUAGACUUUUCUAAAAUAGUUUGUAACCACCAAGAUGUAAUCAAAUGUCAAUCUUAUCUGGGCCCCUACUAAGACCCCCUAAAGGUCAGUCCUAGAUGGGCUCUGCGGUGAGGUCACUUCCCCUGCAGAGGGAGGUACAAAGGGGCUAAGCCCCCCUAAAGGUAAGUCCUAGGUGGGCCCUGCUGUGAGGUCACUUCCCCUGUCUAGUGAGGUGCUAAGGGGCUAAGACCCCUAAUGUUCAGUCCUAGGUGGGCCCUGCUGUGAGGUCACUUCCCCCUUCGGAGGGAAAUCCGCUGCAGACGUCGGGCUUUGCUCCGGGGGUCGGUGGGCCGCAGGUCCACCACUUUGACCCUCGCCGGGCGGUAGGAGUUGGCACAGUAGCUGGGUCGUUUAUGGUAGCGAAUCAGAUCGCAGCCCUCCUCCGAACCUGAGAACAAGGGAGAUUUAAAUGUUGGGUUAAAGCGCUCUCUCAGGAUCACAUCGUGAGAUUUGACCAUUUGAAUUAAGACUCACAUUUCUGAAUGCCCUACCCUAAACCAUAUGAACUCACAUAGGGUAAGUUUGAAUGUUAAAAUCACACAAGAUCACAUGAGCAGUCGCCAUUCUCUUUACUCCCUUUAGAAGUGUACAAUCUAAUCUUGGCACAAAACCUCUGAAACAUGUCAUGUGGAGUUGUGUAGCUUCUCUUGUGUUUGUAUCUUCAGGGCUACGUUUCCUACAGGAUACCAGUGAAGACAUGGAGCCAGGAUCUGAGCCCUUUGAGUCCAGUUUUAUUGGCACAAUGAGUGCAAUAAAUCACCACAUUUGAACCAAAAUCAGAACCAAACAUGUCAUACAUGUCCCAUCCCUUUGGCGAGGGAAGGGUGAUUUGAUGAAGUACCGUGUACAAAUGAGAAGGAACAAUUAGCAACAAACAGAAAAACCAAUCCAUUGAAAAAAUGGCACUGUAUUCACAACAGAAGCACAGGUGCAAAACUGCAAACGCUAGUUAGGCCUGCUGUCCACUCACUUCUCUGCUCAAAUCAAGAAUAAAACAGGAUUUUUAGGGACAUACUGGUAGGUGAAAUACUGGGGUAAUAAAAGGUUAGAAUACAUAAUGAUAAAAAAAUAGUGGUCAAAAUGUAGUCAUGUGUUGCAUGUGACCCAGGCUAGGUCCUCAGUGGAAGUAGUAGUAGUUUCACAAUAGCAGCUCUCACAUCGUGAGAUGUCUAAGUUGUUUGGGCCGAUUUUUUUCUACAGGCCAGUGGACACGUCACGAGGCUGACAAGAUGGUUGAUAUUCAGCUUCCCCAAUCCAACUUGUAUUUUAACUAUUUAAAUUAAUAACGAUAAGAUCGAAUCCUUCCCCGUUUUCUGAGGGCAUACUUCUGUGUUUACGAGGUGCACUUGCACCCCAAAGAGCAUUUUACUGUACAACACAAUGUAGAUGAGCCAUAGUUUUCAUAAGUGCAGAUGGCGUGACCGCAGUAGUAGCAGCGACGUCUAAGGCAUGUGGCCUUCUGGAAUAUCUGUUAGGUUUGUGGGUACAGAUUGUAAACCCAUGGGCAUGUUUUUUAACAUACAUCAUUCACAUGACGCAAGUCAUGUGAAUAUCAUGCAAUGAUUAUAAGGUAAGUUGAUCAAUUAUGAAGCAUUGCCAACUUCAAAGCAACUGCUGCUUCGAUGGAGGGACCUCUGUGGGACUGCGGAGCCAAGGCUAGAAAUGAUUCACAAAGAACAUGACAGGCGCCCCACUGUAGUUGAACCAAACACUGAUAAUGAGAGGAAGCUGGGGGAAACACCCAGGUUCUGCAGAGAGAACCUACUUCACAUUGACCGUAAGGCAAACAUAGAAAACAAAACGCAUCAACUCAAGUCGAAAAACAUGGCAGAUCAGCUUGAGAUUUCUUUGUGUCUGUCGUUAUCUCUCUUUGGUCAAGGCAACAGGAAACUCCUCACAGUGUUUCAGAAGGACAUUUUGAAUUGCGCAAAGAAAGACCGUGUCAUUUAGAUAUUCCUAUAACAGCCAUUACAUAUCUGACAGGGGGGGGGGGGGAUUUUGUCUUGCGUUAUAUGUGUGCAUCUGCUUUGAACGUACUUAAACAGAACUAAGAAAUGUUCUACAUGUCUGUGGAAACAAACAGUCAAUCUUUACAAUAAAAGGCAGAUUCUAGCAAAAUAUUUUCACAAAGUUCUGCAUAUCAGGGUUGAAAAUGUACCAUUUGUUUGUGAGGUCUUCACACCUAAAAUGAUCAGUUGCAAAUAAAAACAAGCGUUGUGCAUUUCACCUCCCAGUUAGAGGAAGAACGUUCACAGAAGUAAAUCAAAAGAAUAACGCCAAUACAUGUGAAUCAAUCUGUUGACAGAAACGACAACACAAAUGAUGAUCUAAUGAAAUGCUAAGCUUGAGUUAUGGUAUUCAUCUGUUAUGGGCAACAAAAAAGUUGAGUUUUCUGUAAAUACUACAGACGAUCAACUUAACAGCUUUAUGAUGGCCAGUCAAAGCUAAUGAAGUUACUCUUUUUUUAUCAAGAUACACGGGACACAUCUGACCAGAACCCAACUCAUAACAGUGGCGUCUGUUUUGGACAUUGUAUUAAUAAGACCUGAUGUCAGGAAAGAGCCCCAGCAUUACGCAUGUUUGGCUUUCAACUGCGUCACAAAAAUCGGUGUCAUUUUACAGUUUAUUUUUUCCGACUACAAAUUGUGCUAAUUACACAAUAACCAACAGAUACCCUGUGCUUUUCAGCAGAUACCCUGUGCUUUUCAGCUGCCCUUUUAGAGGCUCUAUUUCCCAAGCCCACGUAUCCCCCAUAAGGAACCAUUUGUUAACAUAAGCUAAUGUCCUACCUUGUGCAUCAACUCUCUGUUCUAACCAACCUACCAUCUCUAAACUGGACCAAACUGCUGAGUCAGAGAGCUGGGAGGUGAAGGGGGUUUAAAGGGUUGAAUGCUCCAACAAUCUUUUAUCUUUUUAGAUAUAUCGAUUCUAGACAAUUUACAUCUUAUUAAGAGCUGCAAGACACCAUGGCUUUUAGUCAUUAGCUCUCAAAGCCAGUGGCUCACUUAUGACCUCAUUCAUUGUAGCAUUAUCACACUCACUCAGUCAAUCACUUUAGCAAACAACUGCAUGGCAAAUCAACAUUGUUUGGAAAUAGCUUUAACAAAAUUUGUGAAACAAACAGAGAAUAAAAACACAUUCUAUGAAAAUUUGACAUCUAGAUUAGAGUUCAUCACUUUCUCCUAGCCAGGGCGUGUUUUAUUUCUAAUCUCUGAGGUGGUUUAUUCCUAAUCCCUAAAGUGGUUUAGUCCUAAUCUUUAAAAUUGUUCAAUCCUAUUCUCUGAGGUUGUUUAGUCCUAAUCUCUUGGGGUCUGCGGUGGUUUAGUCCUAAUCUCUGGGGGUCUUCAUGUUCUAACUAGGCGCAUGUAGGCCAUUUCAGCAUUUAAAGAACGCAUCCGUUUUUGGAAGAAAUUUAUGAGGAAGGCAGGAAGAGGCCGGAGUCUCGGGUUUGAUUACCCACUAAGACCU
ensembl:lncRNA